rnacentral:rRNA from 1 species
AGCGAACGCUGGCGGCAGGCCUAACACAUGCAAGUCGAACGAAGUCUUCGGACUUAGUGGCGGACGGGUGAGUAACACGUGGGAACGUACCUUUUGGUUCGGAACAACUCAGGGAAACUUGAGCUAAUACCGGAUGAGCCCUUAGGGGGAAAGAUUUAUCGCCGAAAGAGCGGCCCGCGUUAGAUUAGCUAGUUGGUGAGGUAAAGGCUCACCAAGGCUACGAUCUAUAGCUGGUCUGAGAGGAUGAUCAGCCACACUGGGACUGAGACACGGCCCAGACUCCUACGGGAGGCAGCAGUGGGGAAUCUGGCGCAAUGGGCGAAAGCCUGACGCAGCCAUGCCGCGUGAAUGAUGAAGGUCUUAGGAUUGUAAAAUUCUUUUACCAGGGACGAUAAUGACGGUACCUGGAGAAAAAGCCCCGGCUAACUUCGUGCCAGCAGCCGCCGUAAGAC